AGUGAACGCUGGCGGUAGGCCUAACACAUGCAAGUCGAACGGCAGCACAGGAGAGCUUGCUCUCUAGGUGGCGAGUGGCGGACGGGUGAGGAAUACAUCGGAAUCUGCCCAGUCGUGGGGGAUAACGUAGGGAAACUUACGCUAAUACCGCAUACGACCUUCGGGUGAAAGAGGGGGAUCGCAAGACCUCUCGCGAUUGGAUGAGCCGAUGUCGGAUUAGCUAGUUAGCGGGGUAAUGGCCCACCAAGGCGACGAUCCGUAGCUGGUCUGAGAGGAUGAUCAGCCACACUGGAACUGAGACACGGUCCAGACUCCUACGGGAGGCAGCAGUGGGGAAUAUUGGACAAUGGGCGCAAGCCUGAUCCAGCCAUACCGCGUGGGUGAAGAAGGCCUUCGGGUUGUAAAGCCCUUUUGUUGGGAAAGAAAUCUUUCAGGCUAAUACCCUGGGAGGAUGACUGUACCCAAAGAAUAAGCACCGGCUAACUUCGUG
rnacentral:rRNA from 1 species